GUGGGGAAUAUUGGGCAAUGGGCGAAAGCCUGAUCCAGCAAUGCCGCGUGCAGGAAGAAGGCCUUCGGGUUGUAAACUGCUUUUGUACGGAACGAAACGGUCCUGGCUAAUAUCCGGGGCUAAUGACGGUACCGUAAGAAUAAGCACCGGCUAACUACGUGCCAGCAGCCGCGGUAAUACGUAGGGUGCGAGCGUUAAUCGGAAUUACUGGGCGUAAAGCGUGCGCAGGCGGUGCUGUAAGACAGGCGUGAAAUCCCCGGGCUCAAGCUGGGAAUUGCGCUUGUGACUGCAGUGCUGGAGUGCUGCAGAGGGGGAUGAAAUUCCGCGUGUAGCAGUGAAAUGCGUAGAUAUGCGGAGGAACACCGAUGGCGAAGGCAAUCCCCUGGGCCUGCACUGACGCUCAUGCACGAAAGCGUGGGGAGCAAACAGGAUUAGAAACCCCUGUAGUCC
rnacentral:rRNA from 1 species